AGAGUUUGAUCCUGGCUCAGAUUGAACGCUGGCGGCAGGCCUAACACAUGCAAGUCGAGCGGUAACAGAAAGUAGCUUGCUACUUUGCUGACGAGCGGCGGACGGGUGAGUAAUGCUUGGGAACAUGCCUUGAGGUGGGGGACAACAGUUGGAAACGACUGCUAAUACCGCAUAAUGUCUACGGACCAAAGGGGGCUUCGGCUCUCGCCUUUAGAUUGGCCCAAGUGGGAUUAGCUAGUUGGUGAGGUAAUGGCUCACCAAGGCAACGAUCCCUAGCUGGUUUGAGAGGAUGAUCAGCCACACUGGAAUUGAGACACGGUCCAGACUCCUACGGGAGGCAGCAGUGGGGAAUGUUGCACAAUGGGCGAAAGCCUGAUGCAGCCAUGCCGCGUGUGUGAAGAAGGCCUUCGGGUUGUAAAGCACUUUCAGUCAGGAGGAAAGGGUGUGAGUUAAUACCUCCCAUUUGUGACGUUACUGACAGAAGAAGCACCGGCUAACUCCGUGCCAGCAGCCGCGGUAAUACGGAGGGUGCGAGCGUUAAUCGGAAUUACUGGGCGUAAAGCGUACGCAGGCGGUUUGUUAAGCGAGAUGUGAAAGCCCCGGGCUCAACCUGGGAACUGCAUUU
rnacentral:rRNA from 1 species